rnacentral:rRNA from 1 species
CAGUAGCCACGGGAAUACGAAGGGGGCUAGCGUUGUUCGGAAUUACUGGGCGUAAAGCGCACGUAGGCGGAUAUUUAAGUCAGGGGUGAAAUCCCGCAGCUCAACUGCGGAACUGCCUUUGAUACUGGGUAUCUUGAGUAUGGAAGAGGUUAGUGGAAUUGCGAGUGUAGAGGUGAAAUUCGUAGAUAUUCGCAGGAACACCAGUGGCGAAGGCGGCUAACUGGUCCAUAACUGACGCUGAGGUGCGAAAGCGUGGGGAGCAAACAGGAUUAGAUACCCGGGUAGUCCCUGUCUCUUAUUC